rnacentral:rRNA from 1 species
AACGAACGCUGGCGGCAUGCCUAACACAUGCAAGUCGAACGAGACCUUCGGGUCUAGUGGCGCACGGGUGCGUAACGCGUGGGAACAUGCCCAUAGGUUCGGAAUAACUCCCCGAAAGGGGUGCUAAUACCGGAUAAUGUCUUCGGACCAAAGAUUUAUCGCCUUUGGAGGGGCCCGCGUUGGAUUAGCUAGUUGGUAGGGUAAAAGGCUACGAAGGCGACGAUCCAUAGCUGGUCUGAGAGGAUGAUCAGCCACACUGGUACGAGGACACGGCCCGGACUCUUACGGGAGGCAGCAGAGGGGAAUAUUGGAAAGCGGGGGGAAGGCUGAAGCAGCAAGGCCGCGUGAGUGAUGUAGGCCGUAGGGUUGGAAAGCACUUUUACCCGUGAUGAUAAUGACAGUACCGGGAGAAUAAGCACCGGCUAACUCCGUG